CGGAAGUAGUUCAGUGGUAGAAUACAACCUUGCCAAGGUUGGGGUCGCGGGUUCGAAUCCCGUCUUCCGCU
rnacentral:tRNA from 2 species